ensembl:snoRNA
AAAAAUUAUUUUUUAUCUGCUGGUCUUGACUCACUAGCGAAAGCAAUCAGUGUCCCCGUUAGUGCCCAGAUCAAAAUCAUAC